UGGCCCUGGAGUGAUGGAGAUCCCUUGUAAGGGAGGAAGGGAAGUUAGCCAACACAGAGAGAAAGGAGGGAGAGAGGCAAGCUGGGGUGCCACAGAGGGGCUCAGACCUUGCCUGAAAGUGAGGCAAAGCCAAACCUGGACCUAGAGCCCUACGGACUGGGGUGUCUGUAUGUCUCCCCUCCCCUGCCCUGCCUUACAGUGCUGUAUGCCCUGAGGCUUCUUCAUCAGUUUUGAGAUCAAAGCCCCAUCAAGAACCCAUGAAGAACGGGGAGGCCUGUGGAGGCUGGCAGAGCCUGCGCCCGCACACCGUGUUUCUUCAGUGAGGAGGAUUGCAGCUGGCGUUUCCUGAAUGUGGGGCGAGCACCAGGCUCCAUCACAGCCCAUGGCUCCCCUCGUGUUCCCAUCGUUUCUCCAGCACCUCGAUUACUGCAGCAACUUCAAGGGACUCACCCUGGGUUUCUUCGUCUCAGUUCACGUGCAUACAAACCAGAUUUACCUUUCUGAAAGGGAAUCUUUACCUUGACUUGGGACCUACACCCGCUCACAUUCUGUGGGUGGGACCCCGUCCAGAGCCAACCUAAGUCAGUUUCCUGCACAGGUCUUGACUUCAAGUUGAAUUUUACCGGCUUUGUGUGUGGCUGUGGUGGCAGAAGGUGGGGUGGUGUUGGAUUUUCAAGACAGCAUUUAAUGUGGCCCUGGCUGGCACAGACCUCCACAUACAGGAGAGGAUGCCCUUGAACUUGUGAUCUUCCUGCCUGUUCGUCCCAAGUGCUGGAUCCUAGGCGUGUACCACUCUGACUGGGUUGUAUUGUCGUCUAAGUAGUAUUUAAUUCUGAACUGUUCUGUGAUUCAAAAGCAGCAAGUGGUAGACCACUGUCCAUCCCUGUGUAGCACCCACAAAUCCAGAGUGACAGCAACAUCUUUAAGUUUUACAGAUUUCCCCACUUAACUUUAAAACAUUAAUUUGAGUUACCUGGUUGCAAAGGGUAUAGCACAUUGUUCGAGGUGUGUGUAUAUUCCAACUUGUUCUAAUAACCUGAGGCUGAUACAAAAUCCCCCAAACUCCUGUGACUAGAACAUACAAGCAGAAAAGCUGCUUGCGUGCCUACCUAUAUGCUCAAUCCACACUUCACCCCUCCAUGUAUCUCGGUUGACAACCCCGUCAGAUUUAUACAGGCUUCCCAUACAUCAUGCUAGCUUCUUGAGGCUUUUAUUACAUUUAUUCAUGUGUAGGCAUGUGCGUGUGAAGGUCAAAGCCCAGCUUGUGAGAGUCAGUUCUCUGUUUUCAAAUUCAUCUUUCUGGUCUCAGCAUCAUGCUAACUUCUGAAAUGAACAUGGUCAUUGCCCCCAGAAAAAUGAAUCCAGGGCUGGCGAGAUGGCUCAGUGGUUAAGAGCACUGACUGCUCUUCUGAAGGUCCUGAGUUCAAGUCCUAGCAACCAUAUGGUGGCUCACAACCACCCAUAAUGAGCUCUGACGCCCUCUUCUGGCGCGUCUGAAGUCAGCUACAGUGUACUUAUGUAUAAUAAUAAAUAAAUCUUGGGGCAGAACAAUCAGGGACUGAGUGAGUGGGACCGACAGGAGAGAGCGGCUUUGAUGAGAGAGCAGAGGUCCUAAAAAUUCAAUUCCCAGCAACCACAUGAAGGUUCACAACCAUCUGUACAGCUGUAGUGUACUCACAUACAUAAAAUCAAUAAAUCUUACAAAAAGAAAAAGAAAAAUGAAUCCAGAUGGAUAAAUAAACACCAAAAAAGCAAAAAAAAAAAAA
rnacentral:lncRNA from 1 species